rnacentral:lncRNA from 1 species
AACAGACUCAACCACUGAGAAGAACAAUGCAGCUUAAAUCACAAUCGGGGACCAGUGAGCUGUCUCAGUGAAUGACAGCAUCUGUGACCAAGCCUGAGGACUUCAGUCUUGAGAAACCCACAUGGAAGGACAGAAUUCAUUUCUGAACCUUGUCCUCUGACCUCCACAUACACAAUGACACAUGUUAAAUGAUAAGUAACGGGAAAAUAAGUCACACUCAGACUUGCAAAUGUGCACGUGAAGGCUCUGGGUCCCCUGGCUUGUUUGUUCUCAUAACACCGGUGACUCACUGAUCGGUGAGUCGGGAACCUCGGGCAAACAGAGAUCUUACUCAGUCCUUUACCCUCCCUCCGGGCUACUAAAUCAAUAAUGUUUGUUUUCACUUCGU